rnacentral:rRNA from 1 species
UGGUUCCCGAGGACGGGACAGAUGGGGAGCUUUGCUCCCUGAUGUUACCGGCGGACGGGUGAGUAACACGUGGGUAACCUGCCUGUAACACUGGGAUCACUCCGGGAAACCGGGGCUAAUACCGGAUGGUUGUCCGAACCGCAUGGUUCAUACAUAAAGGGUGGCUUCCGCUACCACUUACAGAUGGACCCGCGGCGCAUUAGCUAUUUGGUGAGGUAACGGCUCACCAAGGCGACUAUGCCUAGCCCACCUGAGAGGGUGAUCGGCCACGGUGGGACUGACACACGGCCCAGACUCCUAGGGGAGGCAACAGUAGGGAAUCUUCCGCAAUGGACGAAUGUCUGACGGAGCAACGCCGCGUGAGUGAUGAAGGUUUUCAGAUCGUAAAGCUCUGUUGUUAGGGAAAAACAAGUGCCUUUAAAAUAGGGCGGCACCUUGACGGUACCUAACCAGAAAGCCACGGCUAACUACGUGCCAGCAGCCGCGGUAAUACGUAGGUGGCAAGCGUUGUCCGGAAAUAUUGGGCGUAGAGGGCUCGCAGGCGGUUUCUUAAUCUGAUGUGAAAACCCCCAGCUCACCCGGGGAGGGGUCAUUGGAAACUGGGGAACCUGAUGCAAAAGAGGGAGAGUGAAAUUCCACGUGUAGCCGUGAAAUGCAUAGAGAUGUGAAAAAACACCAAUGUCAAAGGGACUCUCUGGUCUGUAACUGACCCUGACG